rnacentral:rRNA from 1 species
ACAAGCGGUGGAGCAUGUGGUUUAAUCGAAGCAACGCGAAGAACCUUACCAGGUCUUGACAUCCCGAUGCUAUUUCUAGAGAUAGAAAGUUACUUCGGUACAUCGGUGACAGGUGGUGCAUGGUUGUCGUCAGCUCGUGUCGUGAGAUGUUGGGUUAAGUCCCGCAACGAGCGCAACCCCUAUUGUUAGUUGCCAUCAUUCAGUUGGGCACUCUAGCGAGACUGCCGGUAAUAAACCGGAGGAAGGUGGGGAUGACGUCAAAUCAUCAUGCCCCUUAUGACCUGGGCUACACACGUACUACAAUGGCCGGUACAAAGGGCAGCGACAUUGCGAGAUGGAGCGAAUCCCGAAAAGCCGGUCUCAGUCCGGAUUGGAGUCUGCAACUCGACUCCAUGAAGUUGGAAUCGCUAGUAAUCGUGGAUCAGCAUGCCACGGUGAAUACGUUCCCGGGCCUU